rnacentral:tRNA from 1 species
AUAGCUCAGUUGGUAGAGCAGCUGACUCUUAAUCAGUUGGUCCCGGGUUCGAAUCCU